rnacentral:rRNA from 1 species
UGCGUAGGCGGAUCAAUAAGUCAGUGGUGAAAUCUCUCGGCUCAACCGGGAAACUGCCAUUGAUACUGUUGAUCUUGAGUUCGGUUGAGGUAGGCGGAAUGUGUAAUGUAGCGGUGAAAUGCUUAGAUAUUACACAGAACACCAAUUGCGUAGGCAGCUUACUAGACCGACACUGACGUUGAGGCACGAAAACGUGGGGAGCGAACAGGAUUAGAUACCCUGGUAGUC